rnacentral:misc_RNA from 1 species
GGGUUUGUUUGUUUUUUUGGCGACUCGUGCAGCUGUGGAAAAAAGACAGACAAAUCAUUACCUCGUCUUUUGAUAAUGCUUGCAAGUUGCAUCAUGAUUAACUGCUUAACAGAGGUCCAUGUUUUUUUCUAACAUAAAGUAUUCCGUGGAAAACAGUACCAGUUGCAGUGUUUGGUAUGACCUCACCUUGUAUCCACAGCUGAGUAGUAUCAACAGUCAAGUGGAUGGUUAAUGAACAAGCCAUUGCAGACCUAUCCAUCGAAAUCAAAAAAGACUCCUAAUCCACUGACUACCUCAAUCAAUUUUUGGUGGAGUUUGCCAUUUGAUGAUGAUUGGAGAUACAGUUUCAGCCUCAGAAAAUUCAAAGAUUGUACUAAUUGAGGAUUCCAUUGAUGCGAAUGGCCGCAAUGUUCUCCUGUGUUACAUUGUAUCCCUGUCAAAGAUUACAGAGGAAGUUCACCUUUUGUUGUUUGAUGUUCGAGGCCAAGACACCCAGGAAGCAUUAAAAUCACUUGGAAUUCAGAAUGUCAAAGUACACAGAGCGUCUACAGAUCUCCUACAGUGGGAUCGGUCACAGCGAAUAGGUCUACAUUCUGACAUCAAGGCCUACAUCAGAGAGAGACUGUCACCAGGAAUAAAAUCUGUAUCAGUGGUCAUUCACUCUCUUAGUCCUUUAUUGACACAUACAUCUCCUUCCUUCACAUGUAAAACUCUCCAUGAACUUGCAUAUUCUGAAGCUCUAAGGUCACAGGUUCAACAGGUGGUGACUACUCCAACUGGGACUACUGGACUGACAACAGCCUCUCCUUGACUCAUCAUACAUGUACAACAGUUCACAAGAUGGUUCCCAUCACAACACCUUAUGCAAUGUUCUGCUGCAAUAUUCUCCAUAAAAAAGUAUCUGGAAAAGUUGUAAAAAUCAGCAGAGAGAGUUUUAAUAUUACUGAAGAAUAUCAAGUUACAGAAGUAGCAGAGGUAAAGCAAACGUCACAAAAUAUACUUGCUGAUCAAAACCAGUUGGACCCAACCGCAAAUCUCACCUUCAAUUUAUCAUUGUCUGACAAAGAAAAAGAGGCACGAAGCCAAGUCAUUCUCCCCUAUACUUACAAUAAAGAAAGACAAGAGUGUGUCCUUGCAAAAUCUGUCGGUGAGGGAAAGAUAUUUUAUCAACCAGAUGAGGCAGAUGACUUCGAUGAGGAGGACCCUGAUGAUGACCUUGACAUUUGAACAAAGAAGUUAAUCCAACUUUAGAAGAACUUAAUUUCAGAUUGCUUGACCCAUGUGUACACAUUUUGAAGUGUUCAAAUUCAAUUAAAAUCAAAAUUAAAAAGAUUAAAAAAAAAAAAAAAAGAAGCCAGUGCAUAACUUUAAUGAAUAUUAAAUAACUUAUGACUAUC